rnacentral:rRNA from 1 species
UACGGAGGGGGUUAGCGUUGUUCGGAAUUACUGGGCGUAAAGCGCACGUAGGCGGACUGGAAAGUCAGGGGUGAAAUCCAGGGGCUCAACCCCGGAACUGCCUUUGAAACUCCCGGUCUAGAGUUCGAGAGAGGUGAGUGGAAUUCCGAGUGUAGAGGUGAAAUUCGUAGAUAUUCGGAGGAACACCAGUGGCGAAGGCGGCUCACUGGCUCGAUACUGACGCUGAGGUGCGAAAGUGUGGGGAGCAAACAGG